rnacentral:rRNA from 1 species
CCUACGGGAGGCAGCAGUAAGGAAUAUUGGGCAAUGGACGCAAGUCUGACCCAGCCAUGCCGCGUGCAGGAUUGACGGCCCUAUGGGUUGUAAACUGCUUUUAUAUGCCAAGAAACCUCCGAACGUGUUCGGAGCUGACGGUAGCAUAAGAAUAAGCAUCGGCUAACUCCGUGCCAGCAGCCGCGGUAAU